rnacentral:lncRNA from 1 species
GAAGAAAAUGCUGGGGUGAAGCGAGAGCACAGGUGAAAGACCUGGUUUUCCUUAAAUGGAUAAAGCCUCAGAGGCUUUUAUAUUCUUGGAGGACCCAGUCCUGAUUCUUCUGAUCAUUUUUCAAAUCAACUUAAUGAAUAUGAGAUGGGCUGUACAUUAAACUGAUAUAACAGGAGUGUCAGCAGCUAUAGUGAAGUUUCAAGAAGGGGGAAUGCUGUCGGGACUGAGCAGGCAAUGGCCUAAAAACAAUAAAAA